UACGUAGGUGGCAAGCGUUGUCCGGAUUUACUGGGUGUAAAGGGCGUGUAGCCGGGCCGGCAAGUCAGAUGUGAAAUCCCAAGGCUCAACCUUGGAACUGCAUUUGAAACUGUUGGUCUUGAGUAUCGGAGAGGCAGGCGGAAUUCCUAGUGUAGCGGUGAAAUGCGUAGAUAUUAGGAGGAACACCAGUGGCGAAGGCGGUCUGCUGGACAGCAACUGACGCUGAGGCGCGAAAGCGUGGGGAGCAAACAGG
rnacentral:rRNA from 1 species